rnacentral:rRNA from 1 species
GAUGAACGCUGGCGGCGUGCUUAACACAUGCAAGUCGAGCGAGAAAUUUAUAUAUGAUUCUUCGGAAGAUUAUAUAAUUGGAAAGCGGCGGACGGGUGAGUAACGCGUGGGUAACCUGCCCUGUACAGAGGAAUAGCCAUUGGAAACGAUGAUUAAUGCCUCAUAAGACUACAGUAUCGCAUGAUACAGUAGCCAAAAACUCCGGUGGUACAGGAUGGACCCGCGUUAGAUUAGCUAGUUGGUAAGGUAAAGGCUUACCAAGGCGACGAUCUAUAGCCGACCUGAGAGGGUGAUCGGCCACACUGGAACUGAGACACGGUCCAGACUCCUACGGGAGGCAGCAGUGGGGAAUAUUGCACAAUGGGCGAAAGCCUGAUGCAGCAACGCCGCGUGAGCGAAGAAGGUCUUCGGAUCGUAAAGCUCUGUCCUAUGGGAAGAACACAAUGACGGUACCAUAGGAGGAAGCCCCGG